rnacentral:rRNA from 1 species
GACUCCUACGGGAGGCAGCAGUGGGAUAUAUUGGGCAAUGGACGCAAGUCUGACCCAGCCAUGCCGCGUGCAGGAAGACUGCCCUAUGGGUUUAAACUGCUUUUGUACAAGAAGAACAUUAAUAACGUGU